ACGUAAUUAGAAUAAGUUAUUAAAUAUUGGGUUGUCAACUCAAAGAUUCUGAAUUCCUCAAUUAAGUC
rnacentral:tRNA from 1 species